GGGUUGUGAGGUUAAGCGACUAAGCGUACACGGUGGAUGCCCUGGCAGUCAGAGGCGAUGAAGGACGUGCUAAUCUGCGAUAAGCGCCGGUAAGGUGAUAUGAACCGUUAUAACCGGCGAUUUCCGAAUGGGGAAACCCAGUGUGACUCGUCACACUAUCAUUAACUGAAUCCAUAGGUUAAUGAGGCGAACCGGGGGAACUGAAACAUCUAAGUACCCCGAGGAAAAGAAAUCAACCGAGAUUCCCCCAGUAGCGGCGAGCGAACGGGGAGGAGCCCAGAGCCUGAAUCAGCAUGUGUGUUAGUGGAAGCGUCUGGAAAGGCGCGCGAUACAGGGUGACAGCCCCGUACACAAAAGCGCAUGUGUUGUGAGCUCGAUGAGUAGGGCGGGACACGUGGUAUCCUGUCUGAAUAUGGGGGGACCAUCCUCCAAGGCUAAAUACUCCUGACUGACCGAUAGUGAACCAGUACCGUGAGGGAAAGGCGAAAAGAACCCCGGCGAGGGGAGUGAAAAAGAACCUGAAACCGUGUACGUACAAGCAGUGGGAGCACCCUUCGGGGUGUGACUGCGUACCUUUUGUAUAAUGGGUCAGCGACUUAUAUUCUGUAGCAAGGUUAACCGAAUAGGGGAGCCGGAGGGAAACCGAGUCUUAACCGGGCGUUAAGUUGCAGGGUAUAGACCCGAAACCCGGUGAUCUAGCCAUGGGCAGGUUGAAGGUUGGGUAACACUAACUGGAGGACCGAACCGACUAAUGUUGAAAAAUUAGCGGAUGACCUGUGGCUGGGGGUGAAAGGCCAAUCAAACCGGGAGAUAGCUGGUUCUCCCCGAAAGCUAUUUAGGUAGCGCCUCGUGAAUUCAUCUCCGGGGGUAGAGCACUGUUUCGGCUAGGGGGCCAUCCCGGCUUACCAACCCGAUGCAAACUGCGAAUACCGGAGAAUGUUAUCACGGGAGACACACGGCGGGUGCUAACGUCCGUCGUGAAGAGGGAAACAACCCAGACCGCCAGCUAAGGUCCCAAAGUCAUGGUUAAGUGGGAAACGAUGUGGGAAGGCCCAGACAGCCAGGAUGUUGGCUUAGAAGCAGCCAUCAUUUAAAGAAAGCGUAAUAGCUCACUGGUCGAGUCGGCCUGCGCGGAAGAUGUAACGGGGCUAAACCAUGCACCGAAGCUGCGGCAGCGACACUGUGUGUUGUUGGGUAGGGGAGCGUUCUGUAAGCCUGUGAAGGUGUGUCGUGAGGCAUGCUGGAGGUAUCAGAAGUGCGAAUGCUGACAUAAGUAACGAUAAAGCGGGUGAAAAGCCCGCUCGCCGGAAGACCAAGGGUUCCUGUCCAACGUUAAUCGGGGCAGGGUGAGUCGACCCCUAAGGCGAGGCCGAAAGGCGUAGUCGAUGGGAAACGGGUUAAUAUUCCCGUACUUGGUGUUACUGCGAAGGGGGGACGGAGAAGGCUAUGUUGGCCGGGCGACGGUUGUCCCGGUUUAAGCGUGUAGGUGUGUGUUCCAGGUAAAUCCGGUUCACUUUAACACUGAGGCGUGAUGACGAGGCACUACGGUGCUGAAGCAACAAAUGCCCUGCUUCCAGGAAAAGCCUCUAAGCAUCAGGUAACAUCAAAUCGUACCCCAAACCGACACAGGUGGUCAGGUAGAGAAUACCAAGGCGCUUGAGAGAACUCGGGUGAAGGAACUAGGCAAAAUGGUGCCGUAACUUCGGGAGAAGGCACGCUGACACGUAGGUGAAGUGAUUUACUCAUGGAGCUGAAGUCAGUCGAAGAUACCAGCUGGCUGCAACUGUUUAUUAAAAACACAGCACUGUGCAAACACGAAAGUGGACGUAUACGGUGUGACGCCUGCCCGGUGCCGGAAGGUUAAUUGAUGGGGUCAGCGCAAGCGAAGCUCCUGAUCGAAGCCCCGGUAAACGGCGGCCGUAACUAUAACGGUCCUAAGGUAGCGAAAUUCCUUGUCGGGUAAGUUCCGACCUGCACGAAUGGCGUAAUGAUGGCCAGGCUGUCUCCACCCGAGACUCAGUGAAAUUGAACUCGCUGUGAAGAUGCAGUGUACCCGCGGCAAGACGGAAAGACCCCGUGAACCUUUACUAUAGCUUGACACUGAACAUUGAGCCUUGAUGUGUAGGAUAGGUGGGAGGCUUUGAAGUGUGGACGCCAGUCUGCAUGGAGCCGACCUUGAAAUACCACCCUUUAAUGUUUGAUGUUCUAACGUGGACCCGUGAUCCGGGUUGCGGACAGUGUCUGGUGGGUAGUUUGACUGGGGCGGUCUCCUCCUAAAGAGUAACGGAGGAGCACGAAGGUUGGCUAAUCCUGGUCGGACAUCAGGAGGUUAGUGCAAUGGCAUAAGCCAGCUUGACUGCGAGCGUGACGGCGCGAGCAGGUGCGAAAGCAGGUCAUAGUGAUCCGGUGGUUCUGAAUGGAAGGGCCAUCGCUCAACGGAUAAAAGGUACUCCGGGGAUAACAGGCUGAUACCGCCCAAGAGUUCAUAUCGACGGCGGUGUUUGGCACCUCGAUGUCGGCUCAUCACAUCCUGGGGCUGAAGUAGGUCCCAAGGGUAUGGCUGUUCGCCAUUUAAAGUGGUACGCGAGCUGGGUUUAGAACGUCGUGAGACAGUUCGGUCCCUAUCUGCCGUGGGCGCUGGAGAACUGAGGGGGGCUGCUCCUAGUACGAGAGGACCGGAGUGGACGCAUCACUGGUGUUCGGGUUGUCAUGCCAAUGGCACUGCCCGGUAGCUAAAUGCGGAAGAGAUAAGUGCUGAAAGCAUCUAAGCACGAAACUUGCCCCGAGAUGAGUUCUCCCUGAGACUUAGAGUCUCCUGAAGGAACGUUGAAGACGACGACGUUGAUAGGCCGGGUGUGUAAGCGCAGCGAUGCGUUGAGCUAACCGGUACUAAUGAACCGUGAGGCUUAACCUUACAACGCCGAAG
rnacentral:rRNA from 4 species